rnacentral:lncRNA from 13 species
AGGACGUCUUUCCUGCUAGUGAAUAUGUUUCUCAGUUCAGAGGGGGUGGCAUUUCAUCCUACAUCCUAGCUCUACCACAAUCUGUUCCUGACAGGACCAUCCAUCUGUUUAGCCUGAACAACCCUGCAGUUGCUUAUGUGCUUAUUCACAGAUGUAAGUAGGAGGUUGACUACAGGUUUUUGGACUUAUACUUGAAUCUAAGCUAACGUGACACAUUUGCAAGCAUAGCUGCACAUGUUCUGGUUUAAUUGGGAAAUCUCUCCUUUGACUUUCAGAAUAGCACAGAAGCAGAGACUUUAUGUCUAAGCAGACCUAGAUUCAGAGCAGACCCGAAGCUGCUUGAAGAAGGCUGGAGGUAUGUUAAGGAGACAAGAGCUGUCAAGAAGCAGGGAUGUCUCUGGAAAGGAACCUGUAAUAUUUUUGUGCUAUGCCAGAGAUUGACUGAAACAACUAUAGAAUCUGAUAGCUUCUUUAGGACCAAGGAGCAAGAUGGUGACAUAAGAAUGCUAUCAAUCUGCUCCCUCUUCUCUACCUCCCUCCAACAAUUACGCUUCAGAACUCUAGUGGCAUUUAUCUGGCAUUUAUAUUUCAUGAUUACAUUCCAUUUCAUUUAAUCAAGCCCAGUGAAUGUUCCUAUUGGAAUUUGAUAAAAAUGGAAUUAACUUUACUAAAUUCAAAAUGAUUUUUUAUAUUGAAAAUUGCCAAUCAUGGUUAUGCUACCUGUUUCACUUCUUUUGGGUCUUUGUUAUAUUUAUAUAUUUUUUGUUAUUGCAAGUGGUAUCUCUUCUUGUCUGUAUUAACACAUAGUAAUAAGUAAUAUAAACAGCAACAAAUGGUAGCUAUUCUUGUUAGAUUAUGAACACUGGAAGACAGAGAUCACCUGAGAUCAUUUCAGAGACUGGUUACCAUAUAGUGUCAGAGUCCAAGACGACUUAGUAGGGUGUUUAUGCAGAGGGAUGCCUGAAGUGGGUGCUCAAAGGAAGUGAGAACAUGGAUCUUCUUGAUGGCAGCCUGGGUCAGUGUGUCAAAGCCUGAGCAGAGUGCCCAUAUAGAGAGGGAACAUGGCAUCAGGAGAUAUAAAACCCAAACCAGGUGAGAAGGGCAAUCAUGUGAAGGGAGAGGUAGGCUGCUGCAAUCAGAAGUUGGUUGUAUAAUGGAGAUUGAUUAUAUCAGUAGUUAUAUUUAAAACUAGGAAAAAAUAACUAUAUCAGUAGGCAUAUAGUUACAUAUUUAAAACUAGUUAAAUAUAGCUAUAUCAGUAGUUAUGUUUAAAACUACUGGAAUAGAACUAGGAAAAGAGCAAGCACACAGGAAUCAGGUUUCUGUCGAAAAAGUAUUAACAAGUAAGUAGACAAUGGAAAAAAGUUCUCCUUUUGUGAUGGAAUUUAAAAUAUUGAUGCAAAUUUAUAAAUUAUGGUCAAUAAACAAUAAAUAGGUUAUAGAUAGAAAAAUUUG